rnacentral:tRNA from 1 species
CAUUAAGAAGCUUUAAUGUAAGCGGCAGCC